UACGGAGGGUGCAAGCGUUGUCCGGAAUCACUGGGCGUAAAGGGCGCGUAGGCGGCUCAUGAAGGCUGUGGUGAAAGUCCGGGGCUCAACCUCGGAUCGGCCGUGGCGACUCGUGGGCUGGAGCACUGUAGAGGCGGGUGGAAUUCCGGGUGUAGCGGUGGAAUGCGUAGAGAUGCGGAGGAACACCGAUGGCGAAGGCAGCCCCCUGGGCUGACACUGACGCUCAGGCACGAAAGCGUGGGGAGCAAACAGG
rnacentral:rRNA from 1 species